UACGUAGGGUGCAAGCGUUGUCCGGAAUUAUUGGGCGUAAAGAGCUCGUAGGCGGUUUGUCGCGUCGGCUGUGAAAACUCGGGGCUCAACCCCGAGCCUGCAGUCGAUACGGGCAGGCUAGAGUCCGGCAGGGGAGACUGGAAUUCCUGGUGUAGCGGUGAAAUGCGCAGAUAUCAGGAGGAACACCGGUGGCGAAGGCGGGUCUCUGGGCCGAUACUGACGCUGAGGAGCGAAAGCGUGGGGAGCGAACAGG
rnacentral:rRNA from 1 species